GCUGUAGCAAUACAGCAGUGGCAGACGGGUGAGUAACACGUGGGAACCUACCUAGGGGUACGGAAUAACUCAGGGAAACUUGUGCUAAUACCGUAUACGACCUCAGGGUGAAAGAUUUAUCGCCCCUAGAUGGGCCCGCGCUGGAUUAGCUAGUUGGUGGGGUAAAAGCCUACCAAGGCGACGAUCCAUAGCUGGUCUGAGAGGAUGAUCAGCCACACUGGGACUGAGACACGGCCCAGACUCCUACGGGAGGCAGCAGUAGGGAAUCUUGGACAAUGGGCGAAAGCCUGAUCCAGCCAUGCCGCGUGAGUGAUGAAGGCCUUAGGGUUGUAAAGCUCUUUCGCCAGGGAAGAUAAUGACGGUACCUGGAUAAGAAGCCCCGGCUAACUUCGUGCCAGCAGCCGCGGUAAUACGAAGGGGGCUAGCGUUGUUCGGAAUUACUGGGCGUAAAGCGCACGUAGGCGGCAUUCCAAGUUGGAGGUGAAAUCCCCGGGCUUAACCUGGGAACUGCCUCCAAAACUGGGAAGCUAGAGUCCGAGAGAGGUGAGUGGAAUUUCCAGUGUAGAGGUGAAAUUCGUAGAUAUUGGAAAGAACACCAGUGGCGAAGGCGGCUCACUGGCUCGGUACUGACGCUGAGGUGCGACAGCGUG
rnacentral:rRNA from 1 species